CUCCACACUUUGAGGCAGCAGCAGCUGAAUAUUUUACUGUUUUAUGUUCGAGAAAAGAGAAACUCUGGUUUAAUAAAUGUUUCUUAUUCUGAAUCUUUCAAACAUGAAAUGAUAAAGAAAAUAAAUGUUCUUUAUUUCCACAGAGAGACACAGAGAUGUGACUCUGUGGAGGAGCAGCUGUCCAGCUCUGAUGGAAGUAAGUCUGAACAUCUGUCCUCUAAAGUCUGUGUGGAUGAAAACUCAGCUGACUGAUUUUCACAAAGACGUUUUAGUGUUGAGAAGUUUGGUUCAUUUUAUUUUUCUUCUCUUUCAGAAGAUGGUGGUCUGCAGGAGGUUUUAGAUGAACAUAAGAUCAGUCUGAAGAGGAGAUGUGAACGUGUGAAUGAAGGAAGUGAUGAAACAGGAAGUAGUCAAACCCUCCUCAACAGGAUCUUCACUGAGCUCUACAUCACAGAGGGACUGAGUGAAGAGGUGAACACCCAACAUGAGGUGAGACAGCUGGAGACAGCUUCAAAGAUGAAGACCCUCCAUGACACGCCCAUCAGGUGUCAUGAGAUCUUUCAAACCUUACCUGACCAACAGAAGAAGCUCAUCAGAGUGGUUCUGACCAACGGUGUGGCUGGUGUUGGAAAAACCUUCUCAGUGCAGAAGUUCACUCUGGACUGGGCAGAGGGUUUGGAGAACCAAGACCUCCAUCUGGUGGUCCUGCUUUCAUUCAGGGAGCUGAACCUGAUCAGAGAUGAGCGCUUCAGUCUUCUGAAUCUGCUCCAUGUUUUCCAUCCAACACUAGAGAAGGUCACAGCAGAGACGCUGGCUGUCUGUAAACUUCUGUUCAUCUUUGACGGUCUGGAUGAAAGCAGACUGUCUCUGGAUUUCACAGACUCUGAGGUGGUGUCUGACGUCACACAGAAGUCUUCACUCAACGUUCUGUUAACAAACCUCAUCAAGGGGAACCUGCUCCCCUCAGCUCUCAUCUGGAUAACUUCUCGACCUGCAGCAGCCAAUCAGAUCCCUCCUUCAUGUGUGGACAGGGUGACAGAAGUACGAGGCUUCACUGACGCCCAGAAGGAUGAGUACUUCAGGAAGAGGUUCAGAGAUAAAGAUCUGUCCAGAAGAAUCAUCUCACACAUCAAGUCCUCCAGGAGCCUCCACAUCAUGUGUCAGAUCCCGGUCUUCUGCUGGAUCACUGCGACAGUUCUGGAGGACAUGAUGAUCAGAGAGCAGAGAGGAGAACUGCCCAAGACCCUGACUGACAUGUACUCACACUUCCUGCUGGUCCAGACUAAGAGGAAGAAGCAGAAGUAUGAAGGAGGACAUGAGACAAGUCCUCAGGAGCUGACGAAGGCUGACAGAGAAGUCCUCCUGAAGCUGGGGAGGCUGGCCUUUGAACAUCUGGAGAGAGGAAACAUCAUGUUCUACCAAGAAGACCUGGAGCGGUGUGGUCUGGAUGUCUCAGAGGCCUCGGUGUACUCAGGAGUUUGUACAGAGAUCUUCAGAAGAGAGAGUGUGAUCUUCCAGAAAACUGUUUACUGUUUCGUUCAUCUGAGCGUUCAGGAGUUUCUGUCUGCAGUCUACAUGAUCCACAGUUUCACAAACAGGAACACAGAAGCUCUGGAGACUUUCCUAAACACAGAAGAUCUGAAGACUUUCCUAAGAGACAACAAACACAAAGACGCAAUGUUUUCUUAUUUUUAUGAAAACCUUGGUUACAGUUUCUUAUCUCUGGAUGUCUUCCUGAAGAGAGUCAUGAUAAAAUCCCUUCUCAGUAAAAACGGUCACCUGGACCUGUUCGUUCGCUUCGUUCAUGGACUCUCUCUGAAGUCAAACCAGAGACUCUUAGGAGGUCUGCUGGGUCACACAGACAACAGUCCAGGAAUGAUCCAAACAGUCAUCAAGAACCUGAAGGAGAUGAACAGUAAAGAUAUCUCUCCUGACAGAAGCAUCAACAUCUUCCACUGUCUGAUGGAGAUGAACGAUCUGUCAGUUCAUCAGGAGAUCCAAGAUUUCCUGAAGUCAAAGAACAGAUCAGAGAAGGAACUCUUAGAGAUCCACUGCUCUGCUCUGGCCUACAUGCUGCAGAUGUCAGAGGAGGUUCUGGAUGAGUUGGACUUACAGAACUAUAACACAUCAGACCAGGGACGAUGGAGACUGAUCCCAGCUGUGAGGAACUGCAGAAAGGCUCGGUAAGUCCAGGUUUUAUUCUCAGAAUAGUGUAAAUGAUCCCUGUAGUUCUUCCAAUGUCCACGUUACUGAUGAUGAUGUUCUUCAAAUAGAAAUCCACUCAAAUAUCAGGGAGGGGGUUUCUUUAGCAAAAACAUGAUCCUGGUGUCAAAAGUCCUGUUAGCCCAGGAUGAGGUCUACCUGUGGACCCCUGAGAACUUGUCCUGAUUGUGGAGGACCUCUUUGUUUUGAAUCGUGUCUGUAAUGAAUAAAGUGGAACUUUCAGGACAAAUCAGCGACCAUAUCUGAGGACACACAGAGGUCUUCUGAUGAUGGUAUCAGUCCAGAUCAACAUCUCAGUCAGUUGUGGUGAACUUGAGUUUGAAGAAGGUGUCUGCAGCUUCUUCCUGCUGGUUUUCAGGUUGGAAAUGAUGAAUCUGUUGUAAAUGAGGGUGUUGACAGCAUUGAUGGUGAAAAUAGAACUGGAUCAUUUUCUACACAGUGGCAGAACUGUCUCUGUACCAUCAUGUUCAUCAUUCAAUAUUCAUCAUCAAUACAACCAUGAAAACUAACAUGGUGGAAAUAGGAUGUUAAUGUCUCUCUCUCUCUCUCUCUCUCUCUCUCUCUCUCUCUCUCUGCCCUCGGUGCCGCAGGUUGGCACUGACACUAGUCUGCCUCAUAACACCUCAUAGCAUGUGGAGACAGCCGUGCUCUUCCACUGUAUAUAUGGACACCAUGUCUCUAAGGAGAAGCAGUGUGACUGCAUCAUCAUCUUCAUCAUCAGUUUUCCAUGGUGUCCCUUUGUUGUCAUGGUGACACAGAGUGAAGAUGAUUCCUCUAAUGUUGAGGUGUUGGUGGGCUGUAGCGGUCACAUUUCUCCCACUCGGCUGCACGCCUCUGUUUAAGAUGUUGAUGUAAAUUGGUCAGACUGCUGUCUUCUGCUGAAACAGCCUUUAAACAAACACUGCAGCAGACUGGGGUUUGAUCCAGGUCUGAGUCUGAGAGACUGAACCAGGUCUAAAGGACUAUAACCAGCAUGGCUGUCAUUAGGUUGAAUUAAAGCAGGUACCCAUAUUGAUCCUCCAUGUUGAUAUAAUCAGAGCUCAUUAUUGAUACCUCACUUCAUGAUUUAGUGCAAACAUUUAAAAAAGUGAAGAAAACAGGUUCAAAGAUAAAUUUCCUGUGGCUCCAAAUUCUACUUUAUGUAUCAAACACAUUUAUUAGCAAUAAUCAAUCUGUUAAGUACAUUCAUGAGAACAUACCAGAAAGGUCAAAUAAACUCAGACCUAACUUAGACGGCAGCUCUAAGGAUUUUACUUAAAGACAGAAAGACAGAGAGAGAGAGAGAGAGAGAGAGAGAGAGAGAGAGAGAGAGAGAGAGAGAGAGAGAGAGAGAGCGAGAGAGAGAGACAGACAGACAGACAGAGAGAGAGAGAGAGAGAGAGAGAGACCAGAGCCCAAAGACAGAGGUUCAGUGGGUCUUUGUUUCUGUCUCUUAAAGGUCUCUCUGGAUUCAUCAGGCUUUAUAAACGUGUUUCUGCUGCUGAAGCAAAUGUUACAUGGAGAAAAAACUUUGAUUGUGAAAACAAAGAAAUCUUCAACUCUUCAAAUGUUCAGAGUCAAACCAGCUCUAACCUGCUAAAAAACGAUUUUAUCUGAACCAAUCAGAGAAAAAGGAGCUGCUGUGAUUUAGUGAGUCGUCCUCCGAUUGGUCAACAGUCAGUGUCUAUGGAAAGACUUACAUUACAGCAGGAUGUCAACAUUAAACACUGAGCGGAGCACUGAUUCUCCAAGAGGUACUUUGGAUACUAACCAAUCACAUACCAGGACCAAAAACCUGGUUCUCAGUCCCCUUCUCCAACCAGAACUCAAAAAUUCACUCAAUCAUAAUGAUCCAGCUGCACUAACAUGAAGACAACACUGUUAGAGAACAGAAGGACUAAAAUAAGUCAUGGAGUCAUUUGUCUUGAACAUCUGAACAGUUUUAUUUUCUUCUAAACUUUGACUUCCUGUCUUCUCUCAUGGCUGUGGUCCUGAUAUUAGUAUCUGUCUGGUUAAAAACAGGCCGUCUGUCAAACCAAAGAUCAUGUUUGUUUUUGGUCAAGAGAAACAUCAAAUUACCCUUUAAUGAAAUAUUGUUUGAUUUUUAUGUUGUUACAGAUUUGUUCUCUGUGGACUCUCAGAGACUCACUGUGAAGUUGUGACCUCAGCUCUGAAGUCCAACCCCUCCCAUCUGAGACAUCUGGACCUGAGUGACAACGAUCUGAAGGAUUCAGGAGUGAAGCUUCUCUCUGCAGGACUGGAGAGUCCAAACUGCAGACUGAAGACUCUGAAGUGAGACACCAUUUCCUUCUGAUCUAACAAUAAGAUGUGACAGCUGCUGCCUUAGAUUUUUCUCUAUGGUUUUUCCAUCAACUUUGGUCGAGCAGUUUGAAUUUGUCGUUGUAAAACUUCAACACAGGAAGAAAAAUCCGACAUUUCAGAGUUGACUUUGAGUAGAACGAUGGAUGUAGAAAGGAAGCAGGAGAAAAUCAGUCCCACAAAUAUUACACAUGCUUGUAGAGGGCAGGAGCAGCACAGACUAAAGGCUGAUAUUGAACUGAUCCACAAUUAAUGUGAGCACUAAUGAAUGAAUGAAGUGUCAGAGAAAUGAUGAGCUGCAGAUUGAAACCUGAAGAACAAAGUUAAUCCAACUCUGGAGAUUUCAUUUGGAAACUCUUGAAAACUUGAAUUUCUUCUUUGCUCAGUCGUGUUCAAAUGUAAAAACCAGAUCCAGAUUUUUCUGCAGUUUUCACUUCAGUUUGUUGAACAUGAACAUCAUCUUGUCCAGCUGGUCCAUAAAAACCUCUCUGAUCAAUGAUCUGUUGGUUUAUUUAAGAGUAGUUUGGCAGUUGUUGACAGCAGACGGACAGACCCCUGAAUAAACUCCUGACUGUUUGCAUCUUCAUGAAGAAUUCAGGACUACAAAAAAACCUUUGAGAUUUCUCACAUGAGUUUCUCAGGAUCUUUAUAAAGUUUUCUGGUUCUUUAAAUUUUCUUGACAAAAAUUCCUCGGGAUCUUCAAAAGUUUAGAGAGGAUUUUACAAAGUUCCUCAAGAUCAACUCAGAAAAAGUUCUUCUUCCAUGUCCUUCAGAAACUCAAGAACAUUGAAUCAUUAAAAGCAGGAACAGUUUCUUCGGACAUUCAAUGAUUUUUUUCUUUUUUCAGACUGUGGCGCUGCAGUUUGUCAAAGAUCAGCUGUUCUUCUCUGGCCUCAGCUCUGAAGUCCAACCCCUCCCAUCUGAUACAUCUGAGCCUGGGUUUCAACAAGCUGCAGGAUUCAGGAAUGAAGCUGCUGUGUGACUCUCUGCAGAGUCCAAACUGUAAACUGGAGACUCUGAAGUAAGUUUAGUCUUUGUCUGUUUCUGUUGUAGAUUUUUAUGUUUAUUCAGUUUUUUUUAACCCAAUUCAAAUGUUCAUAGAAUUCUUUAAUAUUUCCAGAACUUUCUUCUUUCUCACAUAAAUUCAUAGUUUUUUAUUGAAUCAUCAGUCAGAUACAGAUGGAGGAAAACUGUGAGUUAUUUUGUUGAUUGAAUGUUGAUGAUUUUUUAUAAAUGGUUCAGAUGAUCAUUGCAGUGAUGUUGACGGGUUUACUUCCUCGGUCUCUAAAUCAUUCAAAUGUUCAAGGAUGCAGUGAACUCACUAUCCAUGCAGCUCAGGAACACAGCUCAUCUUUUUCAUACAGGAAACAUUGUCAACAACAAAGGUGUCUUAAAGUCCCAUCAGUCAGCAGCUUCAGUCAGAAACCUUGCUGUCAGAGCUCCGUCAUUUCAACCCUCUGGAUAACUCCUCAGCACAGACCAGACCCUGUGAGAACAUCCUCACAACAUGCUGCUUUAGUUACAACAACAACAAUCAGCUGUUAGCAGAGAUUUCAUCCAAACAGUCCAGGAGACAAACUUUGAAGUGGUUGGAAAAUUCAGGUGUCCACCGCUCAUGCAGAGUUGACUCAUGUUGAUGAUGUUUUCAUGUCUAGAGGACAUGCUGGAGUGAAUUCAACCAAACCUCCUGAGGAAAAGACAGCGGUGGCAGCCAUUAGAUCAGGCUUCAUGACGUCUGUGCUUCCCUUUAUUAAACCAAAUCAGAGAGUUUCCCUCAUGUUUCCACACAAACUUUAAAUUGUUGAAACUGAAUUUUGUUAGUCAUGAUAAUGUGACAGCUGUUUUGUUUUUGAGAUUUGGAGUUUUAGUGUUUUAAUUACAGUGAAAUUUGAACACAUUUACUUAAUAUUCAUCUAUUUGUUGAGGAUUAAGUGGAUUAGGAGAUCUCAAAUAAGUGAUUAUUUGGAUCAUGAAUGUAUGAGACAGCAUCAGCCCUGUUUGGAGCUCUGGAGGUGUGCAUACCUAUGUGAGGCUGGUCCUUGGGGAGGAUGGAACAGGUUUCAAAGGUCUGGGCUACCAGCGGUUCAAGAGGUUGGGCUCAGCAGAGGACCGAAGGCAGAUGAAGGAUGGGCCUGGAGUCACAGCACACAGGCCUGAAUGCAAAAACCAGCACCUUAUGGUUCCUUUUGAUGCUCCUUUGGUCUCACCACAAAACUCUACCACAGAGGAUGACUUUGGGCCUGCUGUGUGGUGUUCAGAGGUAAAAACUAACUUGCAUUGCUAUGUGCUCAAUAAAAGUUGAAGUUUCAAAACUUGAACGAAGAUGAUGGAAACAUGGAGUAGAGAGUGAGGGAGGACUUACAGCAAAGGAUCAUGGGAGUCCAACCAGCAACUGCUGCAACAAGGACUCCACCUUCUGAACACCUGAACCUCUAAUCCAAACCAGUGCUCCAUCACAUUUGAUGUCUUGUCUGUUAUUUUACAUGGAGGGUCAGAGCAGACCAGAUCAUGAGCUCUGACAGACUGGAUCUGGUCCAAAGGUCUGCUGUUGGAGUUCUCUAAGCUCCAUAUUUUAAACCUGAACACCUGAAGUUUGAUUAUUAAUGAUUUUUAUUUACAUUCUCUUGUCUUUAUUUAGGUUGGAUAACUGCAGUUUGUCAGAGAUCAGCUGUUGUUCUCUGGCCUCAGCUCUGAAGUCCAACCCCUCCCAUCUGAGACAUCUGGACCUGGGUUACAACGAUCUGCAGGAUUCAGGAGUGAAGCUGCUGGGUGACUUUCUGCAGAGUCCAAACUGUAAACUGGAGACUCUGAGGUCAGACUUUUUUCCUCCAUUCAAACAUGAUCAUGAUUUGUUUGUGAUGAUGACACUAAACUGCUGACUCAGGACUGAAAUACUGACCCAGACUGAACACCUUCAGUCCAGAGUAGAUUUUCUGCAUCAGUGGAUUAUUUGAUUGACUCCAGUUAGAUCACUGCUGAGCUCCAGUGAAUUAAAACCUGAACCCAAGAAGAAAACUCUUUGUAGAGUUCACAGUGAGAAGCACAUUCAGACAGAAAACAGAAGCAGGGGGAGAUUUGUCAGACGAGAACCAUUCAAACUUUUGUUCAGGACAAGAUCAGGGAAUAGAAAAAACUCAGAGUUUAGUUUCUGACACUGAUGAAAGUCCAGCUCUGUUACUUUGAAUUUUGUUUUUGAAUCUUUGUAUGAAAAUCUGAAUUUUCUGGUUUAUCUGCACUUUUCUGAAGCCUUGCUGUGUUUAGACUGAAAUAUUUACCUCUCAAAGACGUGAUAUUUUUGGUUCAGCAAAGUGAAAAUAUUCUGAACAUCCUUUAUUUCCCAUCAGUCCUGAAGUCACUGACAUUUUCUGAAAAUAUUGAUCUGCAUCUACAAUCAGUAAAAAAGUCUCUGAGUUUUUUAUUUCAGUAUUUAAUGUGUUUUUGAAUUCACUGUUUCAAACUUACUUCCUGUUUGGUUCAGCUCUUUGGAGCGUCACUUUUCUUUGAUUCAAACUUUCCAAACCUUUCCCCUGAACUCGACAGAUUUAAGACAUCAGGUUUCAAACUGGAUCAUUUUUGUCUAAAAUCUCAUUAUUUCCUCUUUAUUUAGGUUGAGAUACUGCAGUUUGACAAAGAUCUGCUGUUCUUCUCUGGCCUCAGCUCUGAAGUCCAACCCCUCCCAUCUGAAAACUCUGUGGCUGUUAGGCAACGAUAUGCAGUUUUCAGACAUGGAGCUGCUGCGUGAUCUUCAGAAGAGUCCAGACUACAGACUGGAGGAUCUGUGGUCAGUAUAGUUGGUUUUAGUCUGUGCUGAUCUCUCCUGUUACACUCUACACAGUAAAAUGUUGAAUGUUUAUGACACUUAAAUCUAAUUUGCAUAAUAAUUUGUAACACAAUGUGUUUCCACAGUUCUUUAAACAGUGACACUAAAGAGGUACUUAACGUGUUUUUCAUUAUAACGGCCUGUCAACACUUGAUGUGUGUUUUUAGCACUGGUUGUACAGUCUUCUGCUGAUGCUACACCAUCAUCUCCUAUCAUCACAAUAAUAAGUUUAAAUGUAGAGACUGAAUGUCAAAGAGUGAAAGAGAGUUAGAAAAGACGUUUAUUUUGGUGCAUGUGAGAAAGAAAUGAUUCACAAACAUCUUGGUCCAGAGAAUGAGGCUGAUAUGGAGCACCUCAGGUUAGAUAUUCACAGAAUUAAACUGACCGACAUCCAUGAAACAGGUGAAGAUGAUAAUCAGUCCAGGGGUCUGAAUAUCCACAGCUUAAAGAACAAAAAUAAAGAUGACAAUGAAAUGCAAAGUACAAUGUAUCAAAUGUUUACUUCGUUUAUUCAUGAUUUUGUUUUCCUGUAAUUAUGUUGGCAGGUAGAGUGCUAAUUGAUCCGACAAAUCUCCAUUGCUGACUGACGAGUGAAUCUGCAGCACGGUGAUGAAAUGACUCAAACACAGAGAAAAGUUCUGGCAGCUUCCGUUCAAACAUUUCAGCAUCAGUCCGAUCAAAAUGUCCUCAGACAGCUGUGAUGUCAUCGCACAAACAAGCCAAUCAGCUGUCCUCAUUUCCCAGCAACCACAGACAGCUGGUCUCUGAUGCGUCCCCGUCUGUUCAGUAUGGAGUCCAGAGACUAUCAGCUCAACUCCACCGUAACCCUGAAACACAAACAAGAUUAUAACCUGUGAUGCCAUUACAGUGGACUGUGUUCUGCCUGUUUUUGCUCUCCAUACUGACUGACUAUCCUGCCAACACCAAUGGCAGCCAUCCGUCCCAGACAGCUCCUAUUGGUCAAUCUCCUGGUCCACCUCUCCAUCCAAUCAUCUCGCUGUAUUCGACACACCCCUCUCCCGUAGUUCCGACUCGUCCCCUCCCACUCUCCCGGCCCUCCUCAGAGCUCUGAGCGGCUAAAAGUAGCGUAGCAACUUAGCUACAGGAGCUGUGAUGGAGAAGGACGCAAAAAAGAAAAAAAAAACACUUCUGCUCGCCCCACCACCAAAAGUGGGAAGAAAACGCCGACAGACGAAAGGGCGGAGUCAAAGAGGAAAUGUGACCAAGCGAGGAAUCUAACUGGAAUAAACACCGGGUCAUCCUUGGAGCGGUGGAGAAAGCUCCGCCAGGAUUUAGUCCUUAAAACAGACACAGAGACAGCAGAGUUUUUGUUGAACAGGUCAUUUUUAUCGCCUUUCAUCGUGGCUCAUGUUACAUAAAUAACUCUGAUUAGUCUCUGACAUGUCAACAUGGUAGCUGUCCAGGCAGCUGCAGACGGCGCUCGCUAGCAGAGCUGGUGUUUACUGCCGCUAGUCACUGACAAUCCGACAUGGUGAAUCCUAUUUGAAGCUAGCGCAGGACCAUACAAUAAUUUAUACAUAAAUUGUCAAAUAUUUGGAAAACCAUUCCAGUUGUUUAGCCAACUUUUUGGAAGGAGGGGGGCUUCUUCAUUUAACAUUUUGAAUGGGACUUUUUUUUUUCAUGUUUUUGUUGUUCAUUAAAAUAAUUGAUUGUUCCUACAAGAAUUAAAACUAAAGUUCUUCUCAAAUAAAUCUGUUAAAAUGUCAUUUUUUUAUUGUAUUAUUUUGUAUGUAUGUCUGCUGAUGACAAAAUAAAAAUAUUUACAUUUAUGUUUGGAUAUGAAACAGUUUGUUUAAAUUACCCACAAUUUCCAAUUAAAGGUGGGGUAGGCAGGAUCUGAGCAAGUUCCAGUUCUUGAGAGAAAUCUUGAAUGAAAAUCCCCGCCCACAAACAGACGCUCCUGCUCGCUCGUAUCGUUCCAAUUUAAUUCAGAUAUAAUGCAGAUAAAUACUUCAGAUCAUUACAAAUGGGGCCCAGUCAAGGUGAAAGUCAAAAGCAUUGGUGCUACUGUAGAUGCCAACAGACUACCAGCAAACACAAUGUUUGCAGGACUUCUACAACGAGGAUAAAGUGACAUAGUCCAGGACCCGAGGGAGGACAGUUUAGCGAUGGCGCUACAACACGCUACAGCAGGUCCGUUUGACAAGAAACACUUCUGUUACAGACACUUGUCUUACUUUGUUAAAGCGGUUUACCUGUCCAGCAGAAAGGUUACAGGGUCACCAAGAUCCCCAAGCGUCCCCCAUCGUUUAUGUUGACCCGGCUUUUUAGCUCUUGUCCAGUCUACCACCGUUAUAAGCGCCCGUUAUUCCUCCAGAGUCUCCGGUAUUUACUUUGUUUUCUUGCUUGUGUCGGCAGUCGUGGCCAAAGGAGGAUUCAGACAAUUUUCCGAACUCUCUGGUUGGUUUCUACUGUCCGAUAUUGUAGCACACUAUCUUUGUUUAGGCUUGUUAACGUUAUUGGAGGACGUGGAGCGUGCCUCACAACACGUGGGAGAAGCGUCCACCUCACGACCAAUCAGGUUGGGGAGACAGCGAAUGGCUUUGUUUACAGUCAGAAAGAGUAGCCCGAUCAAAAAUUUUUAAAUUUUGAUUACACAGACAUAAGAGAACACAGCGAUAUUGUUAUAUUCUAAAAUGUCAUCAAUAACUAAUAACUAUUGGCUGAUAUUAAAAGCCUUUUUUUUAUAAACUACAAAAAAGAUUCUUCUUUAACAGAAUCCUGCCUACCCCACCUUUAAUUCCCAUGAAAAGUUUCCAAUUUCCAAAAUUCUUCAGCUUAACUUCCCAUGGAAAGUUUCUGGAAAUUUUUCCGCCCCUUUGCAACCCUAAUUCUAACACACACAGAGACACCAACACAACAAAACAAAGAUAAAACUCUGUAUCUAAGUCAGACUUACUUUGGUUACUGAAAGAUUCUGUUCUCCAUGUAGCACUGAAAAAAAAACAGCAGAUACAAACAUUAAAUUUCAUGACAACCUUAAGCGACAUCAUAUUCAGUUGACAAAUGAGAAGAGGACUGUUUGGAUGCUGAUAGAUUUAUGAUGUUACAAUAAACAAAAGCAAAAUAUUGCUGCUUCAUAUCACAUGAACCUCCUGUGAGUUUAUUUAUCACGGGUUAGGACUUUGAGUCAUGUUACCUUCAAGUCAGCACACAUUUCUGUCAGUUAAAUCCAUGGCUAACAAAUGGUUUAUGAUCAGACAAAAAAGCUGGCUUGCUAGCUAGACUUCUAAUCUUUCUGCAAUGUUUUUCCGCAAGGCAAAUAUGCAAAUUAGCCACGUGCAGCAUAUUGCAGCAGACAUUGAUGUUCCUAAAUGAUUAUGCUGCUGAUCACUUGUGCUUAUGUAAAAUAAUGCUUCUUGAGACACCAAACAUUAUCUAGCACGACUUCUACAGGAAAAAAUAACAUUGGUUCAAAAGAGUUUUACCAUCAUGCUUACCUUGAUGUUCAAAGCUGCCAGAAAAAUAGUCAGAGGGAGGAGUAAGCAGCGUAGAAAAGAUCUUGCGCAGUCUUCACUUACUGCUUUUAUUGGCAGGAGGCACAACACGGUGAUGAACAGCAGCAUUAACAGCGCCGUUUAACCAACAGAGACGUGCGCGUCAGCCAAACCAGCUUGACAUGUUGCCACAAAGUGAAUUAGAGUGAUGACAACUGAGCUUGUGUAACAGAUUUAGCGAAUUUCACCGCUGGACAUAUCAUCCAAAAUUAGAAUCAUCAUCUUAAAAUUUAAACUUUUUUUUUUCAUUUUCAGUAAAUCAAUAAGCACUGAAAAUUGUGCCUAAUAAUAACAAUAUCAACAUGCAGAAAUAUAACAGCCUUUACACAGCUGUGAUUAGAAUAAUGUUCCAAUGUAACAAAAACAGAAGAAACACUGAACCUGGCUUCAUAAAGAUAUAAAGCAUAGAGUUUUUUCGGCCAAAGUCCAUUUCCAAUCUGCUUUUAUUUUUUCACUCUUCUUGUUCUCACAUGUUAAAUAUGAAACUGCCAGAAAUCUUUUAAAAAUUUCACCAAGACAAGACGUUUUGAGAGUUUUUCACUGUCUUGUUGUGUCUUAUAAAGUUUUCACCUUCUAUGUUGAUAGAGCCUGUAUUUGUUUGCCAACAUUUUUCAUUCUGUAAUUUAUGUACAGGAGUAUGAAGGAGCAGGACAAAGUGAUUUGAUUUAUAAGAUUCUUGACUUUAUAUCAAGUCUUUGCAGGUGUAAAGCUUUAAUGCAUAUUUUUGUUCUGUUUAAAAUAAAAAAAAUCACCAUUAAACUCAAACCCUGAUUUCAAAAAUAAAACAUUGAUAUAAAACUGAAUUUGAUGUUUUUCAAAUGAUCUAAACUUAGUAUUCUGAUAAUAAUGGUGCAAAGACAACAUAAGAAUGAAAAACCUUUUGACUAAUGAGGUUAAUUUAGAAGUUAGUGAGGUGACUGGGUAUAAAAAGGACAUUCAGAGAGGCUAAAGAUUAGCAGAGGUUUAUCACUCUGUGGGAGACUGUGUGAGCUAACAAUGUGACAAUUUAAAGAUAAUUCUCAGGAGUGUAAACUCACUAAGGACUGGUGUAUUUUAUCAGGUACAGUACAUUAUAUCAUUUACAUCGUCAGACUGUUAUUUUUACGCCUUCAAGUGGAAAAACAGACAAGACUCUGUAGUGGAAUGAUGUGUGAGUUUUAUGUGCACCUGCUGGACAUCCCUCCAUGAUAUUUGAUAUUUCAACUACUGAGUAAGUGACAUAAUGUCAAUUGUUUCCUUUUCCAUUUAUGCUAGUGUGUGUGUGUGUGUGUGUGUGUGUGUGUGUGUGUGUGUGUGUGUGUGUGUGUGUGUGUGUUCUUUAAGUCAUUAGCCAUGUUAAGCUAGAUAGUGGGGAUUUGUCAUGUUAUGUUUAUUCAUGUGAACAUUUCCAGUGUCAUAGUUAAUUGGGUGAAAUUUCAGUGUUGUGCCUUACAAGUACACUUUCUCUCCGUCAGCUCGUUGCCGGCUAACCUCGCAAGACAGUCGCGUACAGGUGAGUCAAGACACAGUAACAUCAAGCCAACAGGGCGGGAACUCCAGGCUACCAUCUCCCACUCCGCUCGCAAGCCUAACUAUUGAUGCAAGAACAGCCAGCCUAACACCUAACCCUAGUUGAAGUGUUUGCCACACUUCGUUAUCUACUCCACUUACCGCUGUCUUGCUUUCUCCUUUCUAUUCUCUUUCUUUUCUCACUACCUGAUAAGUAGGGGAUGUAAUAAGAUAGAACAUGGAGAGACUCAACCAGCUGAAAGAACAACAUGAAGACUUUUACUGUGUUUUUAUGUGUGCUUUGGCUCAGUGCACUUCACAGUAACAGAACUAAAUAUUGGCCACAUAUUUUUUGGUGUUUUUGUGCAACUUCUAUAAACUAUCAGCUGUAUCUCACAGCACCAUCCAUGGUGUGAGUGUCUGUGUGUUUUACCUGGGCAGCCUGAGCCGCAGGGAUGCUGAGUGUAGCUGCUGUGGUCUCGGUCAGCCGUCGACUCCGACCUCUGUGGCUCUGAACACAAACGUCUCUCACUGCAUCUUUAGACGGAGCCUGAGCAAACAAAAACACCCAUGAGUAACAACAACGGUGUCAUUGUUGAGAGUCUGGAGAGAGACCGGAAAGGCCCAGAAUCCAAGGAGCUGAAGUCCAGCAUUUAGAGACCUUCAGGCUUCAUUUGCUGAGAGUCUUUAUGGAGAUCCAGGUUUACUUUCAGCAGGACCUGGUACCUGCCCACAGCACCACAGCUACCAGAAACUUGUGUAAUAACCUUCUCAUUAUUGUAAUCCUUGUAAUUCCUUCUUUUACGAAGAAGAUGAAGUUUUUUUUACACUAUCCUGUUUUCAUGAUGCACCUGUUUACAUGGUAUCUUCAUGUCUGUUGACAUGAUUUGAUAAGUUGUGAUCUGACUGUGUCUGUUAUCAACUAUUUUUCAAACCCUAGUAAUUCAAUGUAAAAGACUGAGAGAGAGAGAGAUACUAAAGGGUCCUGGACUUUCUAAGCUGACUUAUAUGAGGGCUGAGAUCUAAAGGAAAGUGUUAAAACUGUGUCAUAGUAAAUGAAUUACAAUUUAAGAAAAAAAGAAAGUAAAAUAUUGCUGCUUCAUAUCACAUGAACCUGCUGUGAGUUUAUCUAUCACGGGUUAGGACUUUGAGUCGUGUGUGCAGAGGAGCAUAGGGGUCAAAGGUUAAAAAUAAAUCACUCACUGAGGAGUAAUCUUUAUUUAACGAUGGUGUAGCAGGUCCCGCCUAAGUGACCCCACUGUUAGACAUUUGGAUCAUCCAAUAGUUGGAGUACCUGGAAAUAUAAGAAAUAUUGCACAGGGAUCAAGAAAACAGGACAGCUGUUCUUCAUUCUCCAUUUAACCAGAUAAUCGAUUUAUUUACAAUUUAACUGCAAACAUGACUUAUUCUCUGCUAUUUUGUCUGCUUUACAUUAAAGCACAGGUUACAUCCACAUCUGGAUAAAAUCAAAUGUCUGUUUUCACAUUAAUGUCUCUUUUUCUUUACAUCUUUUCCAAAAUUAAACAAUUCAACUUUACUAUCUAAAUUUCACUUCACCUGUUCUGUCUUUUCCCAUGAAUGUGCUCUUCCUUUACACACACCACCUCUUUCUCUCAUUAAAAAAUAUCUUUAUCAUAGCUGUAUAUUUUAUAAGUGUUCACUUUUAAUAUCAAUCUUACAGUUAAACAGUACCAUCUUUACACUAAACACAAACUGAAUUGUUAAACAUGGUUACCUCGUACUAUAACCGCUGAACUAGAACCGUGUCAUUGUCUCAUCUUAACGUGCGCACCACUGAAACAGGACUGCAGCCGUAGCUGAUCUCAAACUACAUAUUUACAUUAGCUUACUCUGUUUAAAACAAUGUCCAUACACACAACCGCUUUUAACACACAGAAAUAACUCACAAAUGCCCGGGAGCCGAAAGAAACAUACGAAAAAGAAAUCAACGAGCUGCGGCGUCGGCGCCAUUUUCUCUGCUACAACAGUCACGUACCGUCAAACUUCAAUGUUAACAAUCGUAACACACUAUUAGCUCACCGAUAACACAUCACCGGGGAUUCAUUUCAGCUUAUAAACAUUUGUGACCAUAUAAAAUACAAAUAACUGACCUGGAAAUAUUAGAAAUAUGACACAGGAAUCAAGAAAACAGGACAGUUGUUCUUCAUUCUCCAUUCAACCGGAUAACGAGCUCAGCUCCCGUUGCGUUCUUGUAAGUCCCAGUGAUGAUAGUGGUCGGUGCUGCCACCAAGUGUCCAUUUUGUGAAACCACAUGCCAUUGUGUGUUUCUCUGUAAUUUCUUCUUAUGACACUUAAAUCAUUCAUAUGUGAACAUGCUAACAGUAACAUGACAUUUACUGUAGGUUCCACUGAGGCUUGUUUGCAAGAAAACUUGAAAUAAACGUGAAUAAAAACUGUGAUCUGAAUCUCCUCUGUGAAGUCUUUCAUCUGCCCCCCUGAGCCUGAUAUAAACUCCUGAUUCAUUUUCUAAUUAACGUUUUUAAAGACUCUCCAUUAGCAGCUUUAGUGCAAAGAAACCGUUUCUGCAAAUUCAGAGACUCAACUGUGAUGUUCCAGGAUCGAUCCUCAGCCUGAAAUCACAAGAACCUGUAAAACUGGAGUAAAACCUGAAAUAAUGCACGAGUGUCUCUGAAAAUAAUAUUACCAUGAGCAGCCUGCCACCGUCCACAGACAGAUGGGUUUAAUCCUGCUCUGCACAUUAUUAGCAGCUCUGCCUGCAGCCUAAUGAGCAAGAAGACAAACAAGAAAGUGGAGCAUCUGCAAGUUUGAGUUUGUUAAAACUCCUUCUUAAUGACCGAAAUGAUUUUAGAAAAGGCUGAUAAAGCAAAGAUAAGAUAAUCCAAACCUGCAGGACUCUCUCAUGUUUGUUUACAGACCGAAACAGGAGCUGAAACUGAGAACAGGGAGCCACCUGGUGGAGAAACACCAAACUGCAGCUUUUCUAUCUGCAGCAGACAUUUACAAAAAAAAAAAAAAACAUAUUUUUUCUCAGUGUAGCGACUGUUUUCCUUCAACAAAAAAAGGCCGAUGGGGUUUAGGUUCACUUGCAUCUGUGACUCUUAUAGUUAUCAGUCCAGUUUGAGAGUUAAAAAGUGAUUUAUUGUUUAAAAAAAGAAAAGAAAAGAAAAAGAAAAGAAAAGAAAACACGCUGAUCCAGGUCCAAAACUUUCGCCUUCAAAUGAAAAAGUGAUAAGAUGAAAUGAGGUUAAAACAGGAUGAAACGGUGAAAAACAGUCAACAGAAACGUAUCAGAUCUUACCACAAAUUAUUGUCUGACUACACCUGUGAGAUUGAAAAAACCCGUCAAAACAUCCCAAAACUACACCCCGGAAGUGACGUACCUAAAGAAAAUCGUACUUUCGACAAAUAUAUUUUGGCUCCUACGCUCAUAUUUUCCUAAAUACCCGAUGCCAAUGACAGUCUGUAUAAUGUUCAAGUCAUUAACUCUUCGAUCAUAAUAUAAAUUAAAUCAAUUUUUUUUCAAUAAUUAAAAGAAAAACUCAAUAUGCACUGCUCUAAAUUAUACAGAGCUGAGUUUUUGGAGAGUUCCUGCUUGACUUCUUUUGCAUGAUGUCUCCCAGAGCUGCUGUUUGGAUGUGAAGGGCCUCGAGGACGCUCCAAAGGUUCUCAGUAGGGUUGAGGUCAGGUGAGGAUGGGGGUCACACCGUGAGUCUUUCUCCUUUUAAUGACACAGAGGUAUUCUCUGAUGAAUAAGAUUGUACAUGAAGAUUAGUCUGCUAAAGAAGGCUCAGUUCUUGUUUUUGUACCAUGGAAGAAAGUGGUCAGUCAGAAACUCAUUAAACUAAACUGAGGUCAUUUUUACACCGUCAGGAAUCCUAAAGGGCCAACAAGCUCUCUCCUCUUGAUUCUGGUCCUAAAACACGUCCUCAACACCUCCUUGUUGAUGUUGGGAUGUGGUGAGACGGAGGUGAAGGUAGAGGAGUAAGUGCGCAUGAAUAUAAACACAUCAUUUCCUGUAAAUAUCAAGGGGAGGAGACACCUGACAAUAACACAAAACUAUUCAAAGCUCAGACUUCAGAGUGAGUCAGCACAGAGAGAAACAAGGACACUUGUAACAGGGUGAGUGUUAAUUCAGUCUUACUGUUUGGUUUUCAGAGUCUGUCGUUCAUCAGAAGUGUUUUUUGCGUAUUAAUACACUUAAAAUUGAUAUGUAGAGAAAAUUGAUCAGAUACGUUGUUGGAUUGAUUCCUCGUCCAGUAAACUGUGAGUGUGCUGUUCUUCCUCUUGUUUUCCCCGUAGGUGAGAUGAGAUCAAAAUCACUCUUCAUAUUUUUGUGAACUUUAACAGACUUCACCGAUUAUCUUUACACCGUGACUCAGACAAGGAAUCCAAACUAAUGCUGUGGAAACUGAUCAAACAGGUUUCAAACUCUGACACACCCUCAAACUUUCUGUCAGGAUUCACUUCUCUGAGCUCACAGCCAUCAUUACUGCUUUUUCAGACUCAGAGUUUAGGAGAGCACAGGUCUGGAUGUUUGGUAAUUAUGACAGAACGAUGACAUGUACAGCAGACUCGGCCUAACACUGACGCAUCUGUAGAGGGUGUAAACAAUACGCUACAUGUAGCUUAGCUGCCCGCAAGACUAUAAUGUCGUCCUUUUUUUUUUUUUUCCAAACCUUUAUUCCAGUUCUUCAGCAAUGACAAGUACAUACUAUUUAACAGGUGGUAGCUACAUUCAUUUGAGAGGAAUCAAAACUUUGCAAAAAGAAAAGAAAAAACACAAUAUCUAGUCCGGCAUCCAAAGAUAAGUUAUAAUAUAAAUGAUGACAUGGGGAUCAUACAUUUAUGACAUAUCAUAGAGAGGACCUCAAGGCUUCAUAGAAAGUCAUAGUUCGAAUUGCUUUUUUAUUCCUUAGUCCAGUUAGUGUUUUAAAAUAUAUCUUCAUUUCAUUUUUAAACUGGUUGAUAUUUGGUUUCUUUUUAGACCAUUUACAUUUUUGUAUAUAAAAUCUUUAAUACAAAGUUAAAAGGUUUAAUAAAAAAAUAUUACUUCAGUCCAUGUUCGUUUUUGUUUUUUUUUUUCAAAAUAAAAAAUACCUCACGUUUGCAGGUUUAUCUUACAUCCAGACAACGAUUCAAAUAAAAUUUCAACCUCAAUCCAGAAAAAUUUAACAUGCAUACAGUCAAAAAUAAAUGUACAAUUGUUUCUUUUUCAAGGUUACAAAUACACAAGAGUCCGGUAUAUCAGUUCUAUAUUUUUUUGAGAAAGUGGUUAGUUAGGUAGAUAAAGUGAAUCAUUUUGAAAUAAAAAACCUUGGUCACUUGAUUGUUGAUCAGAUAUUUUUGUCGUAAAUCCAUACCCUUUUUCCAAAUAAUUCCAUCAAAAAUACCAUUCCAAAAAACUUCUGGCACAAGAGUUAGAAGAACACUACAAGAUAUUUCAAAACUGUUCAUUAUUACAUUUUUAUCUUUGAUAUUGACUAGUAAUAGUUUCAAGAAACAAGCUGGUAUUUCAUCAAAUACAAUACAACAUUCCCGUGCAGGUAUUAGAAUACUGAAGGUCUUUAAAAAUUAUGUGUAUGAAAAUAAUUAACCAUUCUCAUUGAGCAACUGUGGAACAAACAGAAUCUUGUUUCUAACCCAGUACUCAAAAAAUAUUGAUUUGUUUGUAUAUCUGAUGUAUGUAUUGUUCUAAAUUAAAUGGUUGUGGGGAGAGAAAUUAUGUUUGUAUAGAAUAAAUCAAGAUAAAAGCACUUGUCUAUGAAAGUUAGACAACUGAAUUGGGAGUUUAUUUAUGUCGAAAUUACAUUUUAGAAGGACCUCUAUACCACUGACUUUUUCAAAGAUAAUAUUGGGAAUAAAGUACAAUAAUUUAUCUUUAUUUUGGAUAUAAUGUUUGAUCCAGUUCACCUUGAAGACUAUGUUAGAUGAAUGAAAGUCCAGCAUAUUUAAACCUCCUUGACAUUCUGAAUUACAUAAAACGCCUGUUCAAUUUAUUUUCAAUUUUUGGGAUGAGGGGUUGGAAGUUUGACUGUAUUCUGUUUGCUUGAUUUUUACAAAUAUUUAUUCCUGAAUAAGUUCCUCUUUAACAGGGAUACCAUCAAUUUCUGCUGAAUGGAUAUUGCCAUCGUUAAGAGGAUAAUGUUUUUCAAAAGAAAGUAUGAAUCAAAUUAAAUCUGUGUAUCUUUGACCUUCACUUUCUGGAUAAACCAACAUGUUAUCUCUUAUUUUAGAAUAAAACUAUGCUUCUGUGGUGCACAUUAGUGUGUUUAUUAAGUGUUUAUUUUACACACAUUUGAGGUGUGAAGGAACUUAAGUUCAUGAGGAGAAUGGAGAGAGGAAUUAAUGAGCCAGGGUGGAUUGCACCCAGAUGACUUUCUGGAGGGGCCGCCCCCUCCUCAGAAAAAAUUCUGGAAGGAAAAUGAAUGGCUCGGGUUUCUAUCUUCUGAACUUUUCUACUGUGUUUUUUGGAAUUGAGGGGCGCUGAGCCGAAAAUCAAUUAUUACGAUAAAACUUACCUCUGAAACCCGCAACACUUUAAAAGAAGACAUGAAAUAACAAAUAUGCAAUAAUGAGUAACCUGUGAUGCAGACAUCAUCAUUUUAACCUUUUUUUUUUCCUUUAAGAAGUUAAACGUAUCACUGUUACUUUAUUACUGCUUUCCAUCAAAUUUUUAUUUCUCUACCAUCGAUGAUGGCUUUGGCCCCUACAAAGAAAGCUUUUUUCCCUUACUUACCUGCCUCUUCAAUUUGUGGCCACAGCUUGUUGCGCAUUUCCUUCUCUUUUGUACUUAAAUCUUCUCCGAAUUUCAUUUUCCUAAACUUGAGGAAGCUAGAGUUUUUGGUUGUAUCUUCACUGAAUAGAAGUGACUUGUUUGCCGUGUUACCUGGGUUUCUCUGUCUUUUUUCCACCAUUAUUUCCAAGCUGUUAACAACCGUUAAAGUUGUAUGAGUUGGUAUUUCAAUCUGACGGAAAAGUUGAAUAAAAAGUCAAAUCCAGUCCAAAAGGCGACAUGUUCAACCAGUAGCAACUGUUCCAAAUGAGCAAUGUCCAGUUUUAAGGUGAGACAAUCAUUUUUUUGGGGUUAGUGAAAUAGUUCUCCGUCCGCCUCAGCCGCCAUCUCGCACAGGAGUCCCUCAGCAGAGCAGGGAAGUUUGCACAGUACUAAAGCCUGUUGUCAACGUUUCUCAGAUACAGUAAUAACUCCUGUAACCUCUAACCAACAUUAUCACUUAAUACGGUCACAACAAAAAAACUGAAGUUGACUAAACGUUUUUCAAACACUGUAAAGAUAUUCAUGCUGUUGUUUUAUCUUCUGUUCGACCAUAAAGCUGGUCCAAAGUUCAUUACUGUGAAAUAUCAGCCUGUCAGUUUAUAUUCAAGGUCCAAAGUCUUUGUAUGAACAGGAUUCAGUGCAGGACUGUAACAGAUCAGGACAAUAAAUGAAUCAUUUACAGAAAAAGACAAGAGUCAUUAGAGGUCAAACAAACCCCAAAGAGAUGAGGAACUAAAUACUACUGACUGAAUAAUACUUUUAAUAACUGCUGAAGGACUGAUCAUAAUGAACCAGAGUCUAUAUUUCUGAGAUUGGAGAAUAAAGAGACGAUAAAUUGGUGGGUAGAAAUGAGGGGAUGGAAACAUUUAAAAAAAAAGGGAUUAUAUGUUAGUUUGUUAAACAUGUUUUUGUUUGUGUGUUAUAUUACCACAAAUAGGGUUUAGUUAAUAUUACUGAUGGUUUUCUCUGGUGUUGUAUGAAGUCUGAAUUUCCUGAGUUUUAGGAUCAGAUCAAAAAAAUCACCUCAUUCUCAGAGUCCAGCCAAAAAAAACGUUAAAUCUAUGUUCCUCUGUGUUUGAACCAGAGACAUUCAGCUUUUACAGUAAAUGACUGUAAAGAGUCAAAUUAAAGUCCAAAACAGCUUUGUUUUCUGUAGUCGGUUAAAAAGAAGAAUCAGUCAAGAAUAAAACAAUCAAUGAACAUGAACAAUACUUGAUAAUACAGAAGAUUAUAAAGAAAUGUGAAUUUCAGACUCUUUGACUCGAUCAUAUUAGACUGGAUAAGAAAUAACCAAUCAGGACCUUUAGGAUUUAAAAUAAGAGGAAGUGUGCAGACAGAUCUUUGACAUAAUGAGAUGUAGAAACUUGAUCAUCUUCAUCUUCACACUCUCUUUCUGUUUGUGUCUCAUCUGUUUGUCUUCCUUGUCCUCAGGUUGUAUAACUCGGUUUCAUCUUCCAUAAAUUUGCUCAACAUCAGAUGGAGAAGAUGAGUGAUGGUGCAAAGAAAAAAAAGGGCAGAGCAAAGUCUGUCAUGUUCAGCUUUCUGACUAGGAAGAGUAACCGGUCAAAAGGUCAUCAACCGGAUUUCAGUAAAGAACCAGGACCCUCAGAGGAGGGCGGAGCAAAGUCUGUCAUGUCUGACUGUCUGUCUAUGAAGAGUGACCGGUCUAUAUUUCUUCCACUGAACUUCAGUAAAGAACCAGGACCCUCAGAUUCACAGUAAGAGAAACACUUUUUAACCUCCAAACUCUCAAACAGUCAUUUAUGAUGCUCUAAAUUCUGACCCCUCUGUUUUCUACCAUGGUGAGAAAAAUGAUCUUAAACGCUGAUUUUCCUGUUGAACCUCCAAACCUGGAGAAAGUAAAGAAAAAGUCACUGAGUUCAGAUUUACUUAUUAUUUCUAAUGUUGAUAAAAAUGAAGGUGGUAUAAAACAGCAUUAGAAAAGGAUCCUGACCUCUUGUAUUUUCUGAUUUGGUUCCUGUGUUUGGGACGUUUUGAGCCUGUAAGUCUUUGGACUGUGGUGUAUAGACCCCUGAAAACAGUCUGUGGGUCAGAAAAUACCAGAAGACCAAAGAAGAAAUAAAUCCUGAGAAAUAAAAACUCAUUCAAACAUCUGUCUGUUAUUAGACCUUUAGAUCUGAUUGGUUAAAGGGGACCUGGCAUCAAAAUGUAAUUUUGUGUGUUUUUUGUGUCAGAUUAGGUCCAUAUUAUGUUCGUCUUAUGUUGUAAAUGUGAAAAUAAACUUUUACGUCGUUUGAAUUCUGUAAAAGUUUAAAAUAAAGAAACGGGUAAACCAGGCCGAUUGAAAAAGCAGGUCCUUCUGACGUCACGCUGACUUUGCUCAUUAUUAUUCAUGAGCGCGUCCUCGGUGAGCCGCGCCCACUACUGAUCAGUACGAGGACAGUCCCCGUAUUGGAUGACCUGUCCCCGGCAAAAGCUGUCCCCGAAAAUGUCCCCGAUUUAAGCGUUUCAUGAAUGAGAGCAAAAAUGUUGCGUGUGGGCUCGAACAACGGUUAUUACAGCAGCCGAAUAGGUAGGAAGCACAGGUUAGCAGUCCUGAACAACAGUUCUUACGGGGUUAUUACAAGGGGCAUGCGCUGCUACUAAAUAGUACCGAGACUUUGUCUGUGAUCACACAGCCCCUGCAGCCCCCUGCUGCCGCUGCCGCCGCACCGAAUGUCCCCGUAUAUCAUUACAGACAUCUGGGCACCUUACUUUAGCACACAUUAGCAUAUGCUAUUAGCAUUAGCAUAAUAACAAUGGAUAAACCGAAAUCCGAACCUCCACUGCUGAGCCAAUCAGAGCACAGCAGGCUUCACAGCAGCGAUCCAAUCAGAGCAAAGCUCAUUACCAUAAAUGUUAAUGAGCCAAAACCAGUUGGUUUUCCUGUAAGGUUUUUAAGGAAUACUAAAACAAACCAUCAAAUAACUUUUCAGCUAAAAUUAUGUUGCAAACAUGAUCAGAGGACAUCAAGGAUUAUGAAAAAAUGAUAAAAAUGGGAAUGAAAUGUUGAUGGCAGGUCCCCUUUAAAAAAGUUUUAAACUGUCAGAGAAAAUCUCUCGACCUUCAAAAAUCACAGUUGAGUUUUUUCUCCUGUCUCCACACUUUGAGGCAGCAGCAGCUGAAUAUUUUACUGUUUUAUGUUAGAGAAAAGAGAAACUCUGGUUUAAUAAAUGCUUCUUCCUCUGAAUCUUUCAAACAUGAAAUGAUAAAGAAAAUAAAUGUUCUUUAUUUCCACAGAGAGACACAGAGAUUUGACUUUGUGAAGAAGCUUUUCAGACAUUUCCGCUCUGAUGGAAGUAAGUCUGAACAUCUGUCCUCUAGAGUCUGUGUGGAUGAAAACUCAGCUGACUGAUUUUCACAAAGACGUUUCAGUGUUGAGAAGUUUGGUUCAUUUUAUUUUUCUCCUCUUUCAGAAGGUGGUGGUCUGCAGGAGGUUUUAGAUGAACAUAAGAUCAGUCUGAAGAGGAGAUGUGAACGUGUGAAUGAAGGAAGUGAUGAAACAGGAAGUAGUCAAACCCUCCUCAACAGGAUCUUCACUGAGCUCUACAUCACAGAGGGACUGAGUGAAGAGGUGAACACCCAACAUGAGGUGAGACAGCUGGAGACAGCUUCAAAGAUGAAGACCCUCCAUGACACGUCCAUCAGGUGUCAUGAGAUCUUUAAAACCUUACCUGACCAACAGGAGAAGCUCAUCAGAGUGGUUCUGACCAACGGCGUGGCUGGUGUUGGAAAAACCUUCUCAGUGCAGAAGUUCACUCUGGACUGGGCAGAGGGUUUGGAGAACCAAGACCUCCAUCUGGUGGUCCUGCUUUCAUUCAGGGAGUUGAACCUGAUCAGAGAUGAGCGCUUCAGUCUUCUGAGUCUGCUCCAUGUUUUCCAUCCAACACUGAAGAAGGUCACAGCAGAGACGCUGGCUGUCUGUAAACUUCUGUUCAUCUUUGACGGUCUGGAUGAAAGCAGACUGUCUCUGGAUUUCACAGACUCUGAGGUCCUGUCUGACGUCACACAGAAGUCUUCACUGAACGUUCUGUUAACAAACCUCAUCAAGGGGAACCUGCUCCCCUCAGCUCUCAUCUGGAUAACUUCUCGACCUGCAGCAGCCAAUCAGAUCCCUCCUUCAUGUGUGGACAGGGUAACAGAAGUACGAGGCUUCACUGACGCCCAGAAGGACGAGUACUUCAGAAAGAGGUUCAGAGAUAAAGAUCUGUCCAGAAGAAUCAUCUCACACAUCAAGUCCUCCAGGAGCCUCCACAUCAUGUGUCAGAUCCCGGUCUUCUGCUGGAUCACUGCGACAGUUCUGGAGGACAUGAUGAGCAGAAAGAAGAGAGGAGAGCUGCCCAAGACCCUGACUGACAUGUACUCACACUUCCUGCUGGUCCAGACUAAGAGGAAGAAGCGGAAGUAUGGAGGAGGACAUGAGACAAGUCCUCAGGAGCUGACUGAGGCUGACAGUGAAGUUCUCCUGAAGCUGGGGAGGCUGGCCUUUGAACAUCUGGAGAGAGGAAACAUCAUGUUCUACCAAGAGGACCUGGAGCGGUGUGGUCUGGAUGUCUCAGAGGCCUCGGUGUACUCAGGAGUUUGUACAGAGAUCUUCAGAAGAGAGAGUGUGAUCUUCCAGAAAACUGUUUACUGUUUCGUUCAUCUGAGCGUUCAGGAGUUUCUGUCUGCAGUCUACAUGAUCCACAGUUUCACAAAGAAGAGGAACACAGAAGCUCUGGAGACUUUCCUAAGAGGUAACAAAGACAAAAUGUUUUCUUCAGAGAUGUUUUCCAG
rnacentral:lncRNA from 1 species